GAGUUCAGUUUCCUUCCAACACCGAGUGCAGGAUGGGAUUGUUGUUUAUUCUCAGAGGGGCUGGGGAUACCAGAGUCUUGAGGAUACCACGGGGACAUCUCAGUUGAAAUCUUAGCACUCUUGGAUGACCCCACAGAAGCACAGAGGAGAAACGCUGUGGCUGUAUUCGAACAAAGGUCCUGGGCCACGCUGGUGUAAUUUACAGUGGGGAUGAGUAAAUAACUUUUCAGGAUCCAAGGGGGUCACAUAAAAGUUCAGCACUGUCAUCAUCUUCUCAUCCUUAAAUCUAUAGAUGCCCUCCCUUCCAAAUACCCUGUGAUUGCCUGGGCUGCUAUUUUGAUAUGAGACAGAAGAGGAUUAAGGCCUGAGGCAGGAAGACUGUACAGGAGGCUACUCCGUGAUCCAGGAAGACCCUUCAGGAGGCUACUCCGUGAUCUAGGAAGACCCUUCACCCUACUCCGUGAUC